AAAUUCUUUUCACCCCCAAUCCUAAAUACAACUUAUAUCAAAAAUAAGAUAAGAACGCCUUGGAUAAAUAAAAUUCACAAUCUAAUUUUUAUUAAUGAUUAUCACGAAUUUGAACAGACAAUAGACCGAUUUAAUCGAAAAUCAUUUUCAAGCGAAGAAGUGCGGUCUUUAUUGACCGAACGGGAACGAGAACACAUCGAUUCCGAAGACCGAAUAAAAAGUUUGAAUUUUUUAUUCGAUGCAGUUAUAACGGAUCCCAAUGAUCAAAAAAUUAGAAAAAAAGCGAUAAAAGAAAUUAGUAAAAGAGUUCCCCGGUGGUCAUACAAAUUAAUCGAUAAUGUAUACCAAGAACUGGGAGAAUACGACGAAAAUGUAAGAGGGAAACAUGCAUUUCGGUUCACGAAAAGCCAAACGUUUAGUGGUUGCUGUUGAUCACCAGACAAAAGGGGAUGUGUCUUUGCCCCAUUAUUUGGAACAAUCGGAUUUUCGUCGAUAUAUAAUAAAAGGUUCCAUGCGCGCACAAAGACGUAAAACCGUUAUUUGGAAACCAGUUCAAGCAAAUGCCCAUUCCCCUCUUUUUUUGGACAGAAUAGACAAAACCCUUUAUUUGUCUUUUGAUAUUUCCCAACUGAUGAAAGUAAUUCUUCGAAAUUGGAUGGUAAAAAAUAAAAAACCAAAAACUUUCUGAUUAUACAAACGCAAAGACAAGAAAAUUGGACAAAAAAGAAAAAAAGAAGCUCAAAGGCGAAAGAUACCAAAGACAAGAAAUGGUACGUAUAAAACAAGCAGAAGGAUGGGAUAAGCGUUUACUUACUCGAAUACUAAGAAGUUCUAUGUUAGUAAUCCAAUCGAUUCUUAGAAAAUAUAUUGUAUUACCGUUAUUGAUAAUAGCUAAAAAUGUGGUUCGCAUACUAUUAUUCCAAGAUCCCGAGUGGUCCGAGGAUUUUAAGGAUUGGAAUCGUGAAAUUUAUGUUAAAUGCACUUAUAGUGGUGUUAAUUUAUCUGAAACAGAAUUUCCGAAAAACUGGUUAAUAGAAGGUAUUCAGAUAAAGAUCCUAUUCCCCUUUCACCUGAAACCCUGGCACGGAUCUACGAUACAAUCCUCUCAUAAAGAUCCAAAAAGUGAACAAGAAACUGAUGUUUGUUUUUUAACAAUUUUUGGGCUGGAAACUGACAUGCCGUUCGGUUCUCCCCAAAAACGACGUUCCUUUUUUGAACCCAUUUUUAAAGAACUAAAAAAAAAAAUUCGAAAAUUGAAAACUAAGUCUUUUAUAGUUUUAAGGGGAUUUUAAAGAAGGCAAAAUAAAAGAACUUUCAAAAAUAAACUUGAGAGAAAUCGAGAAAUUGAGGGAAACUCAAAAAAAUUCGAUAAUCAGUAAGCAGAUGAUUCACGAACCGUCUAUUGAAAUUUCAUCUAUGGAUUGGACGAAAUUAUCCCGGACUGAAAAAAAAAAUGAAAGAUCUGACUAAUAGAACAAGCAGAAUCAGAAAUCAAAUAUAUAAAAUUACAAAAGAAAAGAAAAAAGGAUCGCUAACUCAAGAAACAAAUAUUAGUUCGAACAAACCAACGUAUUCUGUUAAAAUAUUAGACCCAUCAAAAAGGAUUUGGCGGAUAUUAAAAAAAAGAAACGCUCGAUUAAUCCGUAAAUCCUAUUUGUUUCUAAAAUUUGGCAUUGAAAAGAUAUACAGAAAUAUUU
rnacentral:lncRNA from 1 species